rnacentral:lncRNA from 1 species
GUCAAAUAUCACAAGAAAGGUUAUUCUUGUUAUUUCAAAACCUGCUUGAACCAAGAAGCAUUGUGUGUCCUUGCGGGGGAGGAGAGGAUGGGUUCUAAUUAAGCUCAUCGUGGUCUUCUGUUUAAUUAAUUAAUUACUUAAUGUUUGUCAAGUGAUUUGAGGAUGCUAAAUGAAAUCACCCAAAUCAAUGCUGAGGACACACAGAAUAUUGAAGGAUCAACUCUACUUCUUCCAAAUACACUUUAAUACUUUCACUGCCAAACCAGAGUUCGAGAAAUAACUGCGGUGGAAUGAUAAUGAGAAGUUUAACAGUUUUAUGAUGGUUGAAGCUGACUUUAUGAAAGUUGAUAAAUUUCAUCUUGUAGGUUUCAAUUUCUCAUUCCCUACCAAGAGAUGGGGAGAAUACAUUGAUACUGCAUUUCAAAUUGGCUAGAUCAGAAGGAACAGCAGCUAAAAUCCAUUACAACCCAAUUACAUCCAUCAGCUGAAGCUGUGUGCAUUCACUCGUGAACAUCAGCAUUUAAUCCAUAAAGAGGAACUAAUGAGAAAUUUGAAAAUGGAAUCCACGCAUCAGUAAGUUUGGAGAGAUUUUUCUGGGAUUAAUGACCUGCCAGAGCAUCUUCAACAUGCUGGAAAGCUAUUCUCUCUGGGUUUGUUUACUGACCAAGAGGAAAAAAAGGGGGUUUCCUUCUGUCUGCUCAUCAAAUAUUUGAAAGACUACUCAUUUCAGUCCUUGAAAAUGGGAUACCGUGAGCUUUGGAAGUAAGGAAAUACACUGUGUCCUUCUCGUGCUUCCCUGUUGUAUAGAGAAGACGUUCAUCUCAGGACCAUUUCCUCCAAAAGGCCUUCUCAUGAAUUCCUGCUAUCUCCAAAAACUUGUGUUCAUUUGAUGUUCAUGAGUUGCCCUACUGAUUCUGAGAAUCUAUCUGGAGAUUUUUGCUGUAUAGACCCACUCAUAAUAGGCUUUGGUAUCAGUCAUCAUUUACAUCCCGGCUCCUGAGUUGAAACUGCCAAAUAAUAUCUUAUUCAUUCAUUUAUUCAUGCAUUCACGUAUUCAUUCAUUCAUGCACACAUAUAUUUAAUACAUAUUGAUUACUUACUAUGUGCUAAGCACUAUUUUUGAUGCUUUGGUUAGGGUAAAGAAAAGAAAAGACCCAAAUCUGUGCCCUUUUUCUAGAGAGAGAGAUAAACAAAAAAUUAUAAGUAAGUUAUAUUGUAUAUGAGAAGCUGGUAAAUGAAUGCGGAAAACUAAAGCAGGGAAGAGAAACUGGAGAUGGAGUGGGGAUAUGGAGACAAUUUGAAUAGAAUGUCAAGGAUGGCCUCACUGAUCUGAGAGAAGCCCAUGAUCAGAGAGAAGACCCAUGUGUAAAGAGUGUUCCAAAUGGAUAUAACAGCAAAUGCACAGGUCAUGACCUGGGAGCGUGCUUGUCUUGUUUGAGAAACAUACGGAGGCCAAUAGAUGCAAUAGCAUGAUGGAUGUGCAGAGUAGUAGGAACUGAAGCAUAGAAUAAUUGAGAAACUAGAGUGCAGAGAGAGUCAACCACCCUAUCUGGCUCCACUCUGAGUUACAAAGGAAAGCGUGGCAAGGAUAGGAACAGAGGAGUGACUGCCAGCUAAAGUUUUUAAAUGAUCAUGUCUUCCUUUUUAUAAAAAUACACUGUACGAGAGAUGCGUGUGAAAACAGGGAGACUUGUUAAAAAGCUAUUACAAUAUUCCAAGCAAGAGACGAUAGUGAAUUGGAUCAGAGAAGUAGCAGGCAAGGUGGCAAAACAGAAAGGUUAAGUCAGGGUUAUAUUUUGAAAGUAGAUGCAAGAGGAUUUUCUAACAUAUUUGAUGUGGGAUGUGAGAGAAAGAGGAAAGAUAAGGUGAUUUUGAAGGCCAACAUUUUUGGUCCAAGGAGCUGAAAUAAUUAAUUACAAUUAAGGCACAUGAGGGGAGGGAUAGGCUGCAAGGGGCUGCAGAAAGGUAGUGAACAAGGCCAGGGGUUCAUGUUCAUUUUUGCACAUGUUUAAAUUAAUUUACUUUAUAGAUAUCCUACUGGAGGUGUUGAGUAGGCUGUUAGAUACAUGAAUUGGGAGUUCUGGAGUUUAGCAGAGAGGUCUAGACUCAAGACAUUAAUUAGAGAAUCAUCAGAGUAUGCAUGACAGAAUUUGGAUCACCAAGGGAGGAAGUAUUAACAGAGAAGAGAAAUACAAGUUUAGAGAUGGACCCAAG